CUCAACAGCCGAUAUCUGUAUCUCAACAACCGAUAUCUUCUUAUAGGAACUGUAUCUCAACAACCGGUAUCUUCUUAUAGGAACUGUAUCUCAAUAGCCAGUAUCUUCUUACAGGAACUGUAUCUCAAUAGCCGGUAUCUUCUUAUAGGAACUGUAUCUCAGUAGCCGGUAUUUUCUUAUAGGAACUGUAUCUAAACAGCCGGUAUCUUCUUAUAGGAACUGUAUCUCAACAGCCAGUAUCUUCUUAUAGGAACUGUAUCUCAACAGCCGAUAUCUUCUUAUAGGAUCUGUAUCUCAACAGCCGAUAUCUGUAUUUCAACAAGCGAUAUCUUCUUAUAGGAACUGUAUCUCAAUAGCCAGUAUCUUCUUACAGGAACUGUAUCUCAGUAGCCGGUAUCUUCUUAUAGGAACUGUAUCUCAACAGCCGGUAUCUUCUUAUAGGAACUGUAUCUCAACAGCCGAUAUCUUCUUAUAGGAACUGUAUCUCAACAGCCUGUAUCUUCUUAU